UACGUAGGGUGCAAGCGUUGUCCGGAAUUAUUGGGCGUAAAGAGCUCGUAGGCGGUUUGUUACGUCGGCUGUGAAAACCUGGGGCUCAACUCCGGGCCUGCAGCCGAUACGGGCAGACUAGAGUUCGGCAGGGGAGACUGGAAUUCCUGGUGUAGCGGUGAAAUGCGCAGAUAUCAGGAGGAACACCGGUGGUGAAGGCGGGUCUCUGGGCCGAAACUGACGCUGAGGAGCGAAAGCAUGGGGAGCGAACAGG
rnacentral:rRNA from 1 species